CCUACGGGUGGCUGCAGUGGGGAAUAUUGGACAAUGGGCGAAAGCCUGAUCCAGCCAUGCCGCGUGUGUGAAGAAGGCCUUCGGGUUGUAAAGCACUUUCAGUGGGGAAGAAAGCCUUGGGGCUAAUACCCUCGAGGAAGGACAUCACCCACAGAAGAAGCACCGGCUAACUCCGUGCCAGCAGCCGCGGUAAUACGGAGGGUGCGAGCGUUAAUCGGAAUUACUGGGCGUAAAGCGCGCGUAGGCGGUCUGAUAAGCCGGUUGUGAAAGCCCGGGGCUCAACCUGGGAACGGCAUCCGGAACUGUCAGGCUAGAGUGCAGGAGAGGAAGGUAGAAUUCCCGGUGUAGCGGUGAAAUGCGUAGAGAUCGGGAGGAAUACCAGUGGCGAAGGCGGCCUUCUGGACUGACACUGACGCUGAGGUGCGAAAGCGUGGGUAGCAAACAGGAUUAGAUACCCUUGUAGUC
rnacentral:rRNA from 1 species